rnacentral:rRNA from 1 species
AUUGAACGCUGGCGGUAGGCCUAACACAUGCAAGUCGAACGCGAAAGUCCUUCGGGAUGAGUAGAGUGGCGGACGGGUGAGUAACGCGUAGGAAUCUAUCCUGUAGUGGGGGAUAACGAUUCGAAAGGAACGCUAAUACCGCAUACGCCCCAAGGGGGAAAGCGAGGGACCUUCGGACCUCGUGCUAUAGGAGGAGCCUGCGUCGGAUUAGCUAGUUGGUGAGGUGAAGGCUCACCAAGGCGGCGAUCCGUAGCUGGACUGAGAGGAUGAACAGCCACACCGGAACUGAGACACGGUCCGGGCUCCUACGGGAGGCAGCAGUGGGGAAUAUUGCGCAAUGGGCGAAAGCCUGACGCAGCCAUACCGCGUGUGUGAAGAAGGCCUUCGGUUUGUAAAGCACUUUCAGUGGGGAGGAAAAGCUGGUGGCUAAUAUCCAUCGGCCGUGACGCUACCCACAGAAGAAGCACCGGCUAAUUCCGUGCCAGCCGCCGCCGUAAAAC